GAUGAACGCUGGCGGCGUGCCUAACACAUGCAAGUCGAGCGAAGCGCUUAAAUUAGAUUUCUUCGGAAUGACGAUUUUUGUGACUGAGCGGCGGACGGGUGAGUAACGCGUGGGUAACCUGCCUCAUACGGGGGGAUAACAGUUAGAAAUGACUGCUAAUACCGCAUAAGACCCCAGCUUCGCAUGAAGCGGUGGUAAAAACUCCGGUGGUAUGAGAUGGACCCGCGUCUGAUUAGCUAGUUGGUAAGGUAACGGCUUACCAAGGCGACGAUCAGUAGCCGACCUGAGAGGGUGACCGGCCACAUUGGGACUGAGACACGGCCCAGACUCCUACGGGAGGCAGCAGUGGGGAAUAUUGCACAAUGGGGGAAACCCUGAUGCAGCGACGCCGCGUGAAGGAUGAAGUAUUUCGGUAUGUAAACUUCUAUCAGCAGGGAAGAAAGUGACGGUACCUGACUAAGAAGCCCCGGCUAACUACGUG
rnacentral:rRNA from 1 species